ACUGCUCAGUAACACGUGGACAAUCUGCCCUUGGGUCUGGGAUAACUCCGGGAAACUGGAGAUAAUACCAGAUAGGUCAUAGAUGCUGGAAUGCUCUAUGGCCCAAAGCUCCGGCGCCCAAGGAUGAGUCUGCGGCCUAUCAGGUUGUAGUGGGCGUAAUGGACCCACUAGCCUACGACGGGUACGGGUUGUGAGAGCAAGAGCCCGGAGAUGGAUUCUGAGACAUGAAUCCAGGCCCUACGGGGCGCAGCAGGCGCGAAACCUUUACAAUGCGCGCAAGCGCGAUAAGGGGACCUCGAGUGUUCCUACCUAGUAGGAACUGUCCAGUUGUCUAAAAAACAACUGUUAGCAAGAGCCGGGCAAGACCGGUGCCAGCCGCCGCGGUAACACCGGCGGCUCGAGUGGUGACCGCUUUUAUUGGGUCUAAAGGGUCCGUAGCCGGUCUAACAAGUUCUUUGGAAAAUCUGGUCGCUUAACGAUCAGGCUGCUAGGGGAUACUGUUAGACUUGGGACCGGGAGAGGCUAGAGGUACUUUAGGGGUAGGGGUGAAAUCCUGUGAUCCUUAAAGGACCACCAGUGGCGAAGGCGUCUAGCUAGAACGGAUCCGACGGUGAGGGACGAAAGCUGGGGGCACGAACCGGAUUAGAUACCCGGGUAGUCCCAGCCGUAAACGAUGCGAGCUAGGUGUCAGUUUUACUGCGAGUAAAAUUGGUGCCGUAGGGAAGCCGUGAAGCUCGCCACCUGGGAAGUACGGCCGCAAGGCUGAAACUUAAAGGAAUUGGCGGGGGAGCACUACAACGGGUGGAGCCUGCGGUUUAAUUGGAUUCAACGCCGG
rnacentral:rRNA from 1 species